rnacentral:rRNA from 1 species
GACGAACGCUGGCGGCGUGCUUAACACAUGCAAGUCGAACGGAAAGGCCCUGAUUUUGUGGGGUGCCCGAGUGGCGAACGGGCGAGUAACUCACGAGUAACCUGCCCUUGACUUUGGGAUAACUUCAGGAAACUGAGGCUAAUACAUGCUAGGAGCUCCUGCUGCUUGGUGUGGGUUGGAAAGUUUCGGCGGUUGGGGAUGGACUCGGGGCUUAUCAGCUUGUUGGUGGGGUAGUGGCUUACCAAGGCUUGGACGGGUAGCCGGCCUGGGAGGGUGAACGGCCACAUGGGGACUGGGAGACGGCCCAGGCGCAUACGGGGGGCAGGAGGGGAGACUAUGGCAGAAUGGGCGGAUGAGUGAUGAAGCAACUCCGCUUGCGGAAUGACGGCCUUCGGGUCGUAAGCCGCUUUCGCGUGUAGCGAGGCGUGAGGGACGGAAAUGGGUAGAGAAGCACCGGUUAACUACGG